rnacentral:rRNA from 1 species
CAGGCCUAACACAUGCAAGUCGAACGAGACCUUCGGGUCUAGUGGCGCACGGGUGCGUAACGCGUGGGAAUCUGCCCUUGGGUUCGGAAUAACAGUUGGAAACGACUGCUAAUACCGGAUGAUGACGUAAGUCCAAAGAUUUAUCGCCCAAGGAUGAGCCCGCGUAGGAUUAGCUAGUUGGUGUGGUAAAGGCGCACCAAGGCGACGAUCCUUAGCUGGUCUGAGAGGAUGAUCAGCCACACUGGGACUGAGACACGGCCCAGACUCCUACGGGAGGCAGCAGUGGGGAAUAUUGGACAAUGGGCGAAAGCCUGAUCCAGCAAUGCCGCGUGAGUGAUGAAGGCCUUAGGGUUGUAAAGCUCUUUUACCCGGGAUGAUAAUGACAGUACCGGGAGAAUAAGCUCCGGCUAACUCCGUGCCAGCAGCCGCGGUAAU